rnacentral:lncRNA from 1 species
GCUCGUAAGUAGAGGAUCAUGCGCCAGCUGGCGGAUCUGUGAUCGCUCGUAAGUGGAGGCUUGCUCGUAAUUAGAGGAGCAUGCGCGAGCCGGCGCAUGUGUGCUCGCUCGUAAGUGGAGGCUCGCUCGUAAGUAUGUAGAGGAGCACGCGCCAGCCGGCGCAUGUGUGCUCGCUGGUAACCAGAGGAGUAUGCGCCAGCAGGCUCAUAAGGGGGAGAAUGUGCGUAUCGCGACUUACGUGCUCGUAUGUAGAGCAGCAGACUCGCAUUGAGACUGAGAUGCUCGUAUGUAAAAGAGCAUGCGCUCGUGGCGACUUACGUACUCGAAUGUAAAGCAGUAGGCUCGCACGGAGACGGAGAAGCUCGUAUGUAAAGGAGCAUGCGCAUAUGGCGACUUAAGUGAACGCAAGGGAGCAUGCGCGUACGGCAACUCACGUGCUCGUAUGUAGAGCAGCAGGCUCGCAAGGAGACUGGUGUGCUCAUAUGUAGAGCAGCAGGCUGGCAUGGAGGCUGACGUGCUCGUAUGUAAAGAAGCAUGCGCGUAUAGCGACUUACGUGCUCGUAUGUAGAGUAGCAUACUCGCAUUGAGACUGAGAUGCUCGUAUGUAAAGGAGCAUGCGCGCAUGGCGUCUUACGUGCUCGUAUGUAGGACAGCAGACUCGCACGGCGUCUGAGAUGCUCGUAUGUAAAAGAGCAUGCGCGUAUGGCGACUUACGUGAACGUAAGUAAGGGAGCAUGCGAGUAUGGCAACUUACGUGCUCGUAUGUAGAGCAGCAGGCUCGUAAGGAGACUGGUGUGCUCGUAUGUAGAGCAGCAGACUCGUAUGGCGACUGAGAUGCUCGUAUGUGAAGGAGCAGGUGUGCUCGCUAG